rnacentral:rRNA from 1 species
CUUGACAUACCGAUGACAGGUCUAGAGAUAGUAUUUUCCCUUUUAGGGCAUCGGAUACAGGUGGUGCAUGGUUGUCGUCAGCUCGUGUCGUGAGAUGUUGGGUUAAGUCCCGCAAGAGCGCAACCCUAUUGUUAGUUGCCAUCAUUAAGUUGGGCACUCUAGCGAGACUGCCAGUAAUAAACUGGAGGAAGGUGGGGAUGACGUCAAAUCAUCAUGCCCCUUAUGACCUGGGCUACACACGUGCUACAAUGGGAAGUACAACGAGUUGCGAGGCGGUGACGCCAAGCUAAUCUCUUAAAGCUUCUCUCAGUUCGGAUUGUAGGCUGCAACUCGCCUACAUGAAGUCGGAAUCGCUAGUAAUCGCGGAUCAGCACGCCGCGGUGAAUACGUUCCCGGGCCUUGUACACACCGCCCGUCACACCACGAGAGUUUGUAACACCCGAAGUCGGUGAGGUAACCGUAAGGAGCCAACCGCCUAAGGUGGGAUAGAUGAUUGGGGUGAAGUCGUAACAAGGUAAGCGUAGAUGA